rnacentral:rRNA from 1 species
AUUGAACGCUGGCGGCAUGCCUUACACAUGCAAGUCGAACGGCAGCACGGACUUCGGUCUGGUGGCGAGUGGCGAACGGGUGAGUAAUAUAUCGGAACAUACCUUGUAGUGGGGGAUAACUAUCCGAAAGGAUAGCUAAUACCGCAUACGCUCUAAGGAGGAAAGUGGGGGAUCGCAAGACCUCAUGCUAUAAGAGUGGCCGAUAUCUGAUUAGCUCGGUGGUGAGGUAAAGGCUCACCAAGGCAACGAUCAGUAGCUGGUCUGAGAGGACGACCAGCCACACUGGAACUGGGACACGGUCCAGACUCCUACGGGAGGCAGCAGUGGGGAAUUUUGGACAAUGGGGGCAACCCUGAUCCAGCAAUGCCGCGUGAGUGAAGAAGGCCUUCGGGUUGUAAAGCUCUUUUGUCAGGGAAGAAACGGUUGUGGCUAAUAUCCAUGGCUAAUGACGGUACCUGAAGAAUAAGCACCGGCUAACUACGUGCCAGCAGCCGCCGUAAAAC